rnacentral:rRNA from 1 species
CUCGUAGGCGGUUCGUCGCGUCCGGUGUGAAAGUCCAUCGCUUAACGGUGGAUCUGCGCCGGGUACGGGCGGGCUGGAGUGCGGUAGGGGAGACUGGAAUUCCCGGUGUAACGGUGGAAUGUGUAGAUAUCGGGAAGAACACCAAUGGCGAAGGCAGGUCUCUGGGCCGUUACUGACGUUGAGGCUCGAAAGCGUGGGAGCAAACA